AUUGAACGCUGGCGGCAGGCCUAACACAUGCAAGUCGAGCGAAGCCUUCGGGCUUAGCGGCGGACGGGCGAGUAACGCGUGGGAACGUGCCCUUUGGUACGGAAUAGCCCCGGGAAACUGGGAGUAAUACCGUAUGUGGUCGAGAGACGAAAGAUUUAUCGCCAAAGGAUCGGCCCGCGUUGGAUUAGGUAGUUGGUGGGGUCAUGGCCUACCAAGCCGACGAUCAAUGACUGGUUUGAGAGGAUGGUCAGCCACACUGGGACUGGGACACGGUCCCGACUCCUACGGGAGGCAGCAGUGGGGAGUAUUAGACGAUGGGGGAAACCCUGAUGUGGGCAUGCCGCGUGAUGGAUGAAGGCCUGAGGGUUGUAAAGAUCUUUCAGUGGGGAAGAUAAUGACUGUACCCACAGAAGAAGCCCCGGCUAACUCCGUGCCAGCCUCCGCCGUAAGAC
rnacentral:rRNA from 1 species